rnacentral:rRNA from 1 species
GCAGUCGACGAUGAAACCGCUUUCGGGCGGGGAUUAGUGGCGAACGGGUGAGUAACACGUGGGCAAUCUGCCCUGCACUCUGGGACAAGCCCUGGAAACGGGGUCUAAUACCGGAUAUGACUGUCCAUCGCAUGGUGGAUGGUGUAAAGCUCCGGCGGUGCAGGAUGAGCCCGCGGCCUAUCAGCUUGUUGGUGAGGUAGUGGCUCACCAAGGCGACGACGGGUAGCCGGCCUGAGAGGGCGACCGGCCACACUGGGACUGAGACACGGCCCAGACUCCUACGGGAGGCAGCAGUGGGGAAUAUUGCACAAUGGGCGAAAGCCUGAUGCAGCGACGCCGCGUGAGGGAUGACGGCCUUCGGGUUGUAAACCUCUUUCAGCAGGGAAGAAGCGAAAGUGACGGUACCUGCAGAAGAAGCGCCGGCUAACUACGUGCCAGCAGCCGCGGUAAUACGUAGGGCGCAAGCGUUGUCCGGAAUUAUUGGGCGUAAAGAGCUCGUAGGCGGCUUGUCACGUCGGUUGUGAAAGCCCGGGGCUUAACCCCGGGUCUGCAGUCGAUACGGGCAGGCUAGAGUUCGGUAGGGGAGAUCGGAAUUCCUGGUGUAGCGGUAA